rnacentral:rRNA from 1 species
GCGUCAAGUCAGCAUGGCCUUUAUAUCCUGGGCUACACACACGCUACAAUGGCCAACACAAUAGGUUGCUAAGCCGCGAGGUGGCGCCAAUCCAUAAAGUUGGUCUCAGUUCAGAUUGUAGGCUGCAACCCGCCUGCAUGAAGAUGGAGUUGCUAGUAACCGCAGGUCAGCUAUACUGCGGUGAAUACGUUCCCGGGGCUU